UAAUUAGAAAGCGAAUAAUUGCACUUAGUUUCGACCUAAAUUUUGGUCUAAUAGGCCUCUAAUUAA
rnacentral:tRNA from 1 species